CCUACGGGGGGCUGCAGUCGAGGAUCUUCGGCAAUGGGCGCAAGCCUGACCGAGCGACGCCGCGUGUGCGAUGAAGGCCUUCGGGUUGUAAAGCACUGUCGAGGGGGAGAAAAGCCCGCAAGGGUCUGAUCUAUCCCUGGAGGAAGCACGGGCUAAGUUCGUGCCAGCAGCCGCGGUAAGACGAACCGUGCGAACGUUGUUCGGAAUCACUGGGCUUAAAGGGUGCGUAGGCGGGCUGCCAAGUCAGGGGUGAAAGCCCACGGCUUAACCGUGGA
rnacentral:rRNA from 1 species